AAAGGAAUAGACGGGGACCCGCACAAGCAGCGGAGCAUGUGGUUUAAUUCGAAGCAACGCGAAGAACCUUACCAGGGCUUGACAUGCCCUUGACCGUCCUAGAGAUAGGAUUUUCCCUUCGGGGACAAGGGACACAGGUGGUGCAUGGUUGUCGUCAGCUCGUGUCGUGAGAUGUUGGGUUAAGUCCCGCAACGAGCGCAACCCUUGCUUCUAGUUGCCAUCAUUAAGUUGGGCACUCUAGAGGGACUGCCGAUGAUAAAUCGGAGGAAGGUGGGGAUGACGUCAAAUCAUCAUGCCCUUUAUGUCCUGGGCUACACACGUGCUACAAUGGUCGGUACAACGAGCAGCUACCUAGUGAUAGGAUGCAAAUCUCUAAAAGCCGAUCCCAGUUCGGAUUGCAGGCUGCAACUCGCCUGCAUGAAGUCGGAGUUGCUAGUAAUCGCGAAUCAGAAUGUCGCGGUGAAUGCGUUCCCGGGUCUUGCACACACCGCCCGU
rnacentral:rRNA from 1 species